rnacentral:rRNA from 2 species
UUGGUGUGAAUUGCAGAAUCCCGUGAACCAUCGAGUCUUUGAACGCAAGUUGCGCCCGAAGCCCUCGUGGCCAGGGCACGUCUGUCUGGGCGUCA